rnacentral:lncRNA from 1 species
CUCUCUCUCUCUCUCUCUCUCUCUCUCUCUCUCACUAUAACAUUUCCUUCAUAGGAUUUAUGUUAACCAUUCUAAAUUAUGUCUUUAAUUGGUUUUUAUUUUGAAUAUGAACAACUCAUUCUAUCACAGUUUAGUUUUCUAUUUUAAACAAAUUUAACACCACCAACAUAGGAUGAAGCAGGAGUAUCAAAAUCAAGUUUUGUUUGAUGGGAAAAAAUCUUACUUUACUGUGGUUGCAGGUUGCAAUCUUAUGUUUUUUUUUUUCUUCCGUAUUUUAUGGAUGGUGGUGUGGCUAGAUUUGAAAUUCAUACGCUGAAGAUGAUGAAGAGUGAUGCUUUUAUGAGAAGAUGAAAUUUGGACAGGUUUCUUUUCCCUCCACAUAUUUCUUUUUGUUGUUAUGAUUUCGUUUUUUGAUCAUUUUGUCUCAUUUUGUUGUGAGUUUAUGUUAGGCAUUUCAUUUUAUCUCAUUCUAUUUUUGUUAGGCAAAUUCAAUAUUGUGAAGCUUGAAAGAAGAAUGACUAUAUAUGCAGCUUGAAAGAAAAAAGAUACAAUUGGAAAAUAAAAGAAGAAUUAUAUCACAUAUUUUAGGCUUUAUGUGUAGUUCGUGAGAUUGAUACCGAUGUCUGCAAAAUUUUAUGUAAAGUAUCUAAACCUUUGCUCUUUAAUCAUUAUAUCAACUAUUUCUAAAUCUUUUCUCUUUAAACUUUCUAUUUUUCUACUACUUCGUUAGUUAUUUCAUCUAUUUCUUGCUUCAUUUCCUCUAUUUCAUGCUUCUGAUUGAGUAUCAUCCUAUUUUUGUUGAAUUAUGCAUUAGCCUUAGUUAGCAUAGCUCCAAAAUAUAUGCUUAUGAAAUGUGUUUCUUUAUUUUCAUAUACAGAUGUGUGCUUAACUAUUCAGAGCUGGUUCAAGGUAAUUUUCUGCAUAAUUUGGAGCGAGAUCGAGGUGAUUUUCUGCAUAAUUUAGAGCUGGUUUUCGGCAUGUGGACUAAUGUAAUGCAACAGCAGUGUUUUGGUAUUGCAGCUGCUACGUAGUGGUAUUUUUUCCUCCCUAUGUUCUGAUUUUUCUCUGUGGUCCAGCUGCACCAUAUCGGUUUUAUUUUCUUCUCUUUGCCUUUGUUUUCUGUGUGUUUUGGCUCAAUUUACAAAAAAAUUAUUGUCUUUUUAACUGGCUGUUUGUAUUGUUCUCCUGUUAGUUUUUCUGAAUAGGUUGUUGUAGUUUGGCUCUAUAGUGUAGUUGAUUUUGCUUUGUUUUCUUUGGGAUUGUUUCUUAUGUUCUCUUGGUUCUUAUUUCCUUGGGUUUCUAUUACUGCUACUGCAUAACUACUGUAUUUCAUGUUGUCUUUUUAUAAUGUUCAUUUAAAUUUUAUGUAGUGUCAACUAUAGGUAAUCCUUACAAAAAUAAGUUAACAACCUUACAUGGACAUUCAAGAACUGCUUGGGCUGCCAAUUGCAUGCUUAAUUUGUGAGUAUAAGUUUGGAACUAUUUGUUGAUUGUAAUUUUAUUAGUGUAAGUCAACUGAUAAAGGUUAAUCAAUAAUCACUCUCUUUCGUCUACAAUUUUUUUCUUUGUUAUAAUGGUUAUUCUUUGUUGUCGACUUCAUAGAUUUAUCAAAGAUCAAAUGCUAUCGAUUUUGAAUAACUCAGUUGGACCAAGCAUGGCUCAUUCCAUAUCAAUUUAAGAUUGCAAGUAUCUUUUAUUUUUCUAUGCUUAAUUGAAAUAAAUGUGCCCCUGUUGGUAGUUAUUUUAAAUUGGAUAGAAGAAAAUGUUGGAGAAAUGUGAAAUUGAACAGCAAGAAGACAAUUUAUCAAUCUAACAAUUAAAGUCUUUGUAAAAUCACGGAUCUCAUAUUCUGCAGCGUGCUAUAAAUGUAUGUUUGAUUGCAAGUUGCAACUAUAUCAGUUUGUUUUGAGUUGUAAGUAAAAAGUAAAUAUUGAGAUUUUGAGUCUAUUUUAGCAAUUUUGAUCAAUUUGUAAGGUAUUAGCCACUAUUUGAAAGUUCUUUCUUUGCUUGGUUUUAUGAUUUUUCAAGGAGCAUUACUUUGUGUGGCUAAUUUAGAUUGAUAGAGCUAUUCUUUUGUUGCACAUGAUUUGGCAG